rnacentral:rRNA from 1 species
GAGUUUGAUCGUGGCUCAGAUUGAACGCUGGCGGCAGGCUUAACAUAUGCAAGUCGAGCGGGGGAGAUUGCUUCGGUAACUGACCUAGCGGCGAACGGGUGAGUAAUACUUAGGAAUCUGCCUAUUAAUGGGGGACAACAUCUCGAAAGGGAUGCUAAUACCGCAUACGCCCUACGGGGAAAGCAGGGGAUCACUUGUGACCUUGCGUUAAUAGAUGAGCCUAAGUCGGAUUAGCUAGUUGGUGGGGUAAAGGCCUACCAAGGCGACGAUCUGUAGCGGGUCUGAGAGGAUGAUCCGCCUCACUGGGACUGAGACACGGCCCAGACUCCUACGGGAGGCAGCAGUGGGGAAUAUUGGACAAUGGGGGAACCCUGAUCCAGCCAUGCCGCGUGUGUGAAGAAGGCCUUAUGGUUGUAAAGCACUUUAAGCGAGGAGGAGGCUCCUGUAGUUAAUACCUACAGAGAGUGGACGUUACUCGCAGAAUAAGCACCGGCUAACUCUGUGCCAGCCG